rnacentral:rRNA from 1 species
GACGAACGCUGGCGGCGUGCUUAACACAUGCAAGUCGAACGGAAAGGCCCUGCUUUUGUGGGGUGCUCGAGUGGCGAACGGGUGAGUAACACGUGAGUAACCUGCCCUUGGCUUUGGGAUAACUUCAGGAAACUGGGGCUAAUACCGGAUAGGAGCUCCUGCUGCAUGGUGGGGGUUGGAAAGUUUCGGCGGUUGGGGAUGGACUCGCGGCUUAUCAGCUUGUUGGUGGGGUAGUGGCUUACCAAGGCUUUGACGGGUAGCCGGCCUGAGAGGGUGACCGGCCACAUUGGGACUGAGAUACGGCCCAGACUCCUACGGGAGGCAGCAGUGGGGAAUAUUGCACAAUGGGCGGAAGCCUGGUGCAGCAACGCCGCGUGCGGGAUGACGGCCUUCGGGUUGUAAACCGCUUUCGCCUGUGACGAAGCGUGAGUGACGGUAAUGGGUAAAGAAGCACCGGCUAACUACGUG